rnacentral:lncRNA from 1 species
UGGCAUGCAGAAGUUCCCAGACCAGGGAUUGAACCUGCACCACAGUAGCAACCUGAGCCACAGCAGCAACAAUGUAGGGUCCUUAACCCUCUGAGCUACCAGGGAGCCCCCAAGGUCCUCUAUUUUUGAAGUUUUAUUGACAUACAGCUACAUCCCAAAGACAGCCCUGUCCACUCUGCCAACAAAAGACCACUUUGGGGCAAUGUUUAUACACGGAGAACCUAAUUAGACCAUCACAUCUCUGUCUCUGGGUGGGUUUGUUGUGUUCAUUCUUGGUUUUCAGUUUAAUGAACACUAUUAAUCUCAUCACAUCCUACAACUUCAAAAGCCACGUGAAUGUUCAAAAUGAUAGUGGCAUAUGACUACAGUUAAACAAAAAUUAAGGCUUUAAAAAAUUGAAAGUUAGGAGAAAAAUGAAAUAUGAUACACAUAUCUAAGGGAUAAACGUGACCAAUUACAAAAUUCCUCUCCGUGGGAUUUCUUCUUGAGGACUGAGGCUGAAGCAAGGGGUUUUAGCUCAAACAGAUAAAGGCUUAAAAGAGUAAAAUAUAUUAUGAAUCUAAUGUGCAUGGGCUCACACAUAGAAAACACAAAGUAUACCCUCAGACCUCCCAAUUCAAGGGUGCUUUUUGCCAUAAAAAUAAAUUAACUUUCUUUUUAAUAUUCAAAAAUGGUAGCAUAAAUGUUACCACCAACACAUAGCAUUUUCAUACAGAACUUAUAUGCAAAACCAAAGCAAUACUCAGGAAAGUAUCCUCAGAAGUAGCUGCAGUUUAUUUUUUUAUUAAAGUAUUAAAAAACUAUUCACAGAAAGAAUCUAUAUACAAGAACAUAAAGGCAAUGGUUUUUUUGUGUAUGUACUUUCUCAAUGCUAGAGUUUUUCUUUUAUUAAAAACUUCUGGAUGCAUACUAUAUAUACAGUAUUGUAUAUACUAUGUCAUACUAUCAAGCCCACUGCUUAAACUCUUAUCUGUAGGGUUUUGACAGUAAAUUUAGGGGAUAGUUUGUUCGGUUAAACCUCUUUUCUGUAACUUACAAUAGCUUUGGCUGGCAUGUAUGGUCCUUCCAACCUUUAGUACUUGGUCAGCCUAUCUUUGCUGCUUUACUAAUAAUCGUCUUCUCUCAAAAGGUAAAGCUGUACAACCACUAUAGAAAACAGUAUGGAGGUAUUUCAGAAAACUAAAUAUAGAACUACCAUAUGACCCAGCAAUCUCACUCUUGGGCAUAUAUCUGAACAAAAUUUUCCUUGAAAAAGAUACAUGCACCCGUAUGUUCACUGCAGCACUAUUCACAAUAGCCAAGACAUGAAACAACCUAAAUGUCCAUCAACAAAUGAAUGGAUUAAGAAGAUGUAGUAUAGGCUCAGUGAUUAACAAAUCCAACUAGGAACCAUAAGGCCGCAGGCUGGAUCCCUGGCAUUGCUCAGUGGGUUAAGGAUCCGGCAUUGCCGUGAGCUGUGGCAUAGGAUGCCACAGCUCCGAUUAGACCCCUAGGUCUAGCUUGGGAACCUCCACAUGCUGCAGGUGCGGCCCUAGAAAAGCUAAAAAAAAAAAAGAUAAAGAAAGAAGAUAUGGAAGAUAUGGUAUAUAUACACAAUGGAAUACUACUUAGCUAUUAAAAAGAACAAAAUAAUGCCAUUUGCAGCAACAUGGAUGGAACUAGAGCCAUUCAUACUAAGUGAAGUAAGUCAGAAAGAGAAAGACAAAUACCAUAUGAUAUCACUUAUAUCUGGAAUCUAAUACAUGGCACAAAUGAACCUUUCUACAGAAAAGAAACUCAUGGACUUGGAGAACAGACUUGUGGUUGCCAAGGUGGGGGGUUGGGGAAGUGUGAUGGACUGGGAGUCUAGGAUUAAUAGAUGCAAACUAUCACAUUUGGAGUGGAUAAGCAAUGAGAUUUUGCUGUACAGCACAAGGAAUUACAUCUAGUCACUUGUGAUGGAACAUGAUGGAGGAUAGCGUGGGAAAAAGAAAGUUAUAUAUGUAUAACUGGGACAUUUUGCUGUACAGUAGAAAUUGACAGAACACUGUAAAUCAACUAUAAUGGAAAAAAUUAAAAUCAUUAAAUAAAUAAAUAAAUGGAAAAAAAAAGCAAAUAGACAUUCAUUUCAAUGCAAGGAAGAGAAUAUCUUUCAAACUUCCUUUCGUUGUACUCGGUAUAGUAUAAUUAUACCCAGAUUUACACUUUCUCUCUGAAAUGUACUACAGAUAUCCCUUCCAUGUUGGCUAAAAUGUUGUUAAUUCCUGAAGAUUUUUUCCUAUUAUUAUUUAAACAUGAAUGCACAAUUCAUAUUUUUUCACCUUGUAUUGUCAAUUCAAAUUUCAAUACAUAAACAUCAUCAGUUUAAUACAAAUAAAAAUUAGAUCAGUAAAAACAUCUCAAACCAAACACUGUAAAUCAAGUAUAAUAAAAAAAUUUUUUGAAAAAGUCUCAAAGGUCUUAGAAGUAUCUUUAAUAACAACCUUCUCACAAUAUACAUUUUCUAUAAAUAAUAUAAUUUGGGGAUAGUUAUUUUUUGUAACCUACUUUGCAAACCAAGUAUUCACUAUUAGUUGAAAAAAUGCUUUAAAUAAAUAUACAAAACAGGCAAUGGAUUGCUAUAACUUGGUAAGAAAGCCCCAUAUUAAUAUCUAAAAUUAAAGAAUAUGUGAAAAUACAAAAGAAGAAAUAUGAAAAAAACAUACGAAAAACUG